rnacentral:rRNA from 1 species
UACGUAGGGUGCGAGCGUUGUCCGGAAUUAUUGGGCGUAAAGAGCUCGUAGGCGGCUUGUCGCGUCGGAUGUGAAAGCCCCGGGGCUUAACUCCGGGUCUGCAUUCGAUACGGGCAGGCUAGAGUUCGGUAGGGGAGAUCGGAAUUCCUGGUGUAGCGGUGAAAUGCGCAGAUAUCAGGAGGAACACCGGUGGCGAAGGCGGAUCUCUGGGCCGAUACUGACGCUGAGGAGCGAAAGCGUGGGGAGCGAACAGG